CAUCGCUGCGGUCAACAAGGAGUUUACACUCACGGCUGGCAAGUUUGUUCCAGUCUCCAACAAGACCAUGAUGAAUAUGAUGAAUCAGACACUGUCCUUCUUCAUGUUUCUUCUGCAGAUGAAGGACAAAAGUACAGACACCAGUCAGGGAGCAUGACAUUAGAGAUUCUUAACGUAAAGUAGAGCAGUAGUUAUUGUUGUAGUUCUGAUAACCAAUUCAAUAAAACUCAUGUGAUAUAAAUGAA